rnacentral:rRNA from 1 species
GAUGUUGGGUUAAGUCCCGCAACGAGCGCAACCCUUAUUGUUAGUUGCCAUCAUUUAGUUGGGCACUCUAGCAAGACUGCCGGUGACAAACCGGAGGAAGGUGGGGAUGACGUCAAAUCAUCAUGCCCCUUAUGACCUGGGCUACACACGUGCUACAAUGGGAAGUACAACGAGUCGCAAAGUCGCGAGGCUAAGCUAAUCUCUUAAAGCUUCUCUCAGUUCGGAUUGUAGGCUGCAACUCGCCUACAUGAAGCCGGAAUCGCUAGUAAUCGCGGAUCAGCACGCCGCGGUGAAUACGUUCCCGGGCCUUGUACACACCGCCCGUCACACCACGAGAGUUUGUAACACCCGAAGUCGGUGAGGUAACCUUUUGGAGCCAGCCGCCUAAGGUGGGAUAGAUGAUUGGGGUGAAGUCGUAACAAGGUAGCCGUAUCGGAAGGUGCGGCUGGAUCACCUCCUUUCUAAGGAA